rnacentral:rRNA from 1 species
UAGGGGAGCCGGAGGGAAACCGAGUCUUAAUUGGGCGUUAAGUUGCAGGGUAUAGACCCGAAACCCGGUGAUCUAGCCAUGGGCAGGUUGAAGGUUGGGUAACACUAACUGGAGGACCGAACCGACUAAUGUUGAAAAAUUAGCGGAUGACCUGUGGCUGGGGGUGAAAGGCCAAUCAAACCGGGAGAUAGCUGGUUCUCCCCGAAAGCUAUUUAGGUAGCGCCUCGUGAAUUCAUCUCCGGGGGUAGAGCACUGUUUCGGCUAGGGGGCCAUCCCGGCUUACCAACCCGAUGCAAACUGCGAAUACCGGAGAAUGUUAUCACGGGAGACACACGGCGGGUGCUAACGUCCGUCGUGAAGAGGGAAACAACCCAGACCGCCAGCUAAGGUCCCAAAGUCAUGGUUAAGUGGGAAACGAUGUGGGAAGGCCCAGACAGCCAGGAUGUUGGCUUAGAAGCAGCCAUCAUUUAAAGAAAGCGUAAUAGCUCACUGGUCGAGUCGGCCUGCGCGGAAGAUGUAACGGGGCUAAACCAUGCACCGAAGCUGCGGCAGCGAACGUAUCACCCAAGACAACUUUACGGAGUUGACGAUUGACGGAGCGAAGCGACGUCAAAGCGUUCAUUAAAGUCGAGUUGGCUUAGGGAUACGUUCGUUGGGUAGGGGAGCGUUCUGUAAGCCUGUGAAGGUGUGUCGUGAGGCAUGCUGGAGGUAUCAGAAGUGCGAAUGCUGACAUAAGUAACGAUAAAGCGGGUGAAAAGCCCGCUCGCCGGAAGACCAAGGGUUCCUGUCCAACGUUAAUCGGGGCAGGGUGAGUCGACCCCUAAGGCGAGGCCGAAAGGCGUAGUCGAUGGGAAACGGGUUAAUAUUCCCGUACUUGGUGUUACUGCGAAGGGGGGACGGAGAAGGCUAUGUUGGCCGGGCGACGGUUGUCCCGGUUUAAGCGUGUAGGUGUGUGUUCCAGGUAAAUCCGGUUCACUUUAACACUGAGGCGUGAUGACGAGGCACUACGGUGCUGAAGCAACAAAUGCCCUGCUUCCAGGAAAAGCCUCUAAGCAUCAGGUAACAUCAAAUCGUACCCCAAACCGACACAGGUGGUCAGGUAGAGAAUACCAAGGCGCUUGAGAGAACUCGGGUGAAGGAACUAGGCAAAAUGGUGCCGUAACUUCGGGAGAAGGCACGCUGACACGUAGGUGAAGUGAUUUACUCACGGAGCUGAAGUCAGUCGAAGAUACCAGCUGGCUGCAACUGUUUAUUAAAAACACAGCACUGUGCAAACACGAAAGUGGACGUAUACGGUGUGACGCCUGCCCGGUGCCGGAAGGUUAAUUGAUGGGGUCAGCGCAAGCGAAGCUCCUGAUCGAAGCCCCGGUAAACGGCGGCCGUAACUAUAACGGUCCUAAGGUAGCGAAAUUCCUUGUCGGGUAAGUUCCGACCUGCACGAAUGGCGUAAUGAUGGCCAGGCUGUCUCCACCCGAGACUCAGUGAAAUUGAACUCGCUGUGAAGAUGCAGUGUACCCGCGGCAAGACGGAAAGACCCCGUGAACCUUUACUAUAGCUUGACACUGAACAUUGAGCCUUGAUGUGUAG